rnacentral:rRNA from 1 species
CACCGACGGCUCGAGUGGUGGCCACCUUUAUUGGGUCUAAAGCGUCCGUAGCCGGCGUGGCAAGUCCCCUGGGAAAUCUGGCGGCUUAACCGUCAGGCGUCCAGAGGAUACUGCCAGGCUUGGGACCGGGAGAGGUGAGAGGUACCUCAGGGGUAGGGGUGAAAUCUUGUGAUCCCUGAGGGACCACCAGUGGCGAAGGCGUCUCACUAGAACGUGUCCGACGGUCAGGGACGAAAGCUGGGGGCACGAACCGG